CCGAAGUCAGACAUCCUUAUUGUCUGGAACUAAGGUUACGCUCACCUAGACAACCAAUCGCAGUCAAGCUACCAUGAAGACAUCAGACCUAUUUUCUUUCUCCUCGAAUAAGUUGAACAUUUUUGCUUUAAAUGAAGACUAAAGGCGGAAUGUCAAUAUUUGCAAAGUAUGCAAGGAUGACGAUGGAGAAGACUGGCUGGGUUGUGACGCAUGUGGCCAGUACUUCCACUGCGGCUGUUUACCGGGCGUCAAUUUCGCCGAGGCUGUAACCGGCGUUUUCUUCAGCCCUUGUUAAUAUUAUAUGUUAGUCGUGAAGUAUUCCGCAUAUCUGCCAGAGAUUUCUAGUAUCCCCAAUAGUCACGCAAAAGUAGCGAGGGAUCAGUUUCCUCGGAUGUGAGAGAGAAACUAGAGAUAGCCGUAUUAGUCGGAGCAGUUUGGCAGUUUCACCGAGGAUGUGUAAUUAGAGGGACAAUAGGAGAGCCCGAAGCUAUAGACAAAGCUAGUAUGGGUAUUGUAUAUGGUCCUAUGACAGUAGGUUAGAUAGUGAUUGUGUCAUGUAACACGAGCAUUGUAUUUAGUUAGAGUUAGACUAGUGAAUAAAGGCAAGCCAUCAAGGCUAAACAGUCAA